rnacentral:rRNA from 1 species
UGCCUGUACCAUAACCGACACAGGUGGGUAAGUAGAGUAUACUAAGGGGCGCGAGAUAACUCUCUCUAAGGAACUCGGCAAAAUAACUCCGUAACUUCGGGAGAAGGAGUGCCUUAUUCUUAAGGUUGCAAUAACAAGAUCCAAGCAACUGUUUAUCAAAAACACAGGUCUCCGCUAAGUCGUAAGACGAUGUAUGGGGGCUGACGCCUGCCCAGUGCCAGAAGGUUAAAGAAGUCGGUUAGCAAUAGCAAAGCUGGUAACUGAAGCCCUGGUGAACGGCGGCCGUAACGAUAACGGUCCUAAGGUAGCGAAAUUCCUUGUCGGGUAAGUUCCGACCCGCACGAAAGGCGUAAUGAUUUGGAUGCUGUCUCGGAGAGGGGCUCGGUGAAAUAGACUUGUCUGUGAAGAUGCGGACUACCUGCACCAGGACAGAAAGACCCUAUGAAGCUUUACUGUAACUUGAAAUUGAAAUUGGACUUUAUUCGCGCAGUAUAGGUGGGAGGCGUUGAUUAUAAUCUUGUGGGAUUAUUGGAGCCAUCAGUGAGAUACCACUCUUGUAAUGUUAGAUUUCUAACUUUGAAUCAUUAUCUGGUCAAAGGACAGUUUCAGGCGGGCAGUUUGACUGGGGCGGUCGCCUCCUAAACGGUAACGGAGGCGUACAAAGGUUUCCUCUGAACGGUUAGAAAUCGUAUCUAGAGUGUAAAGGCAUAAGGAAGCUUGACUGUGAGACCUACAAGUCGAGCAGGGACGAAAGUCGGUCUUAGUGAUCUGACGGUACUGAGUGGAAAGGCCGUCACUCAACGGAUAAAAGUUACUCUAAGGAUAACAGGCUGAUCUCCCCCAAGAGUUCACAUCGACGGGGAGGUUUGGCACCUCGAUGUCGGCUCACCGCAUCCUGGGGCGGUAGUACGUCCCAAGGGUUGUGCUGUUCGCCCAUGAAAGCGGUACGCGAGCUGGGUUCAGAACGUCGUGAGACAGUUCGGUCCAUAUCCGGUGUAGGCGCUAGAAUAUUGAGAGGAGCCUUCUUUAGUACGAGAGGACCGAGAAGGACAUACCUCUGGUGUACCAGUUAUCGUGCCAACGGUAAACGCUGGGUAGCUAUGUAUGGAGUGGAUAACCGCUGAAAGCAUCUAAGUGGGAAGCCCACCUCAAGAUAAGUAUUCUCAUCACGUAAGUGAGUAAGGUCACGGUAAGACUAACCGUUUGAUAGGCAUUAAGUGUAAGUACAGUAAUGUAUGUGCUGAGAUGUCCUAAUAGACCGAGGAC